CUUUGUGCGUGGGCGUGUUUGGGAGCUGCAGGUGUGUCCAGGUGUGGGUUCGUUGGGUCAGCAGAGGAUCUAACGGGACUUUGUGUCGGUUUGAGUUGUUUUUAAAGGAGGAUGAAGACGCUGGUGGUGUUCCUGCUCCUCAUGAACGUUUUUCAGCAUGCCCUGGCUGUCGUAGUGGAGGUGUAUGAAGAGGAAAACUCUGUAAUGUUGCCUUGUCAGUUCUCCAGUUAUAUACCUAUACACCCAACAGUGAUGUGGAAUCGCAAUGAUAUUGAUCCCAAAUCUGUCCAUGUGCAACGAGAACGAGGAGAUGAUCUCAGAGGACAAAACCAGCAUUACAGAGGACGCACAUCAAUGAAGCCUGAUGCUAUGGACACUUCUGAUUUCAGCCUCACUCUGAGAAAACCAACAAAAGCUGACAGCGGCAACUACACCUGCUCCAUCACAGAUGGGAGCGAAGAAACAAGACUGGGAGAUAUACAACUGCAGGUCAAAGAAAAGCAGGUGGAGGUGAGUGUGGGUGAAAGGUCAGAGUCUGUCAUCCUGCCCUGCAAAACAAAACCUGACCUGCCUGAGGACGCCACAGUGGAGUGGACUCGCUCUGACCGAGAACUGAAGAUCGUCCGUGUCCAUGCAAACGGAAGGGACCGCCAAAAUAACCAAAAUGACCUUUACUGCGGCCGUGCAAAGAUGAAUGAAGACCUGCUGAAAACUGGAGACCUCAGUCUGACCCUGAAACACCCCACAGAGAGAGACAGUGGAGGAUACAUCUGCACCAUCUACAGGGACAAAGACAUCCUGAGACAGAAAGUAGUGCUGCAGGUCAAAGUUUCCCAAUACACCUCAAUUAUCAAGCUGCAUGUAGGGCACCCACUUGUUAUGCUGCCCUGUGAGUUUCACACUUUUGAACUGAGGGACCCUAUAGCGAUGUGGAGUCGCUCCGACCUCAGUCCUCCAACCGUCCACCAGCGUCAGGUUCAAGGAGAUGAACUGAAAGAUCAAAACCAGCGUUACAGCAGCCGAACAUCCAUGAAGACUGACGCUCUGGAAACUGGAGACCUCAGCCUGAACCUGACCAACCUCCAACUGUCUGACAGCGCCACCUACACCUGCUCUGUCAGAGCAUUUGGGCUAGGACACCACACACUGAGAGAGGUGCAAAUGCAGGUCACAGAACGGUUUCCAUCCUGGGCCAAAGCUCUCCUGGUUCUCCUGGUUCUUCUUGUGGUUUCUGGAGGUCUUUUAUUUCAUUUCCGGCACUAUUUCAUGUCAGUCCCCCAGGUGGAGGUGGAUUCAGGGGUGGAGUCUGUCCUGCUGCCCUGCAAGACCGCAGUUUGGCUUCGCAAAGACGCUAAAGUGGAGUGGAAGGAUAAAUAUAACAGGAAUGUCCACAUGUAUGAGAACGGCUCUGACCAGCCUGAAGAACAGCACGAUAAAUACAAAAACCAAACAAAGACGAAGAGAAACUUACUGGAACCUGGAGACCUCAGUCUGACCCUGAAACACCCCACAGAUAGAGACAACUCCACCUACACCUGCACCGUCUACAGCAGGGAGGGAAGGAUCCUGGUGAAGAAGCAAGUGGAGCUGAAAGUCAAAGGUCAGUGCUGUAAAUACAGGUCAAAGGUCAGAGGUCAGACUCAUGAUGGUGGUUCAGUCUCAGUGGCUCCAUCCAAUAAUGUUACAGUGUUAGCAUGUCUGAUGUUUGUGGCUGUUUUGGUUUUUCUUUGAUUUCCAGCCAAAUGUAAAAGCUUCAGCAGAUGAACUGUAGGAGCAAAGUUCAUGUG
ensembl:lncRNA